rnacentral:rRNA from 1 species
UACGUAGGGUGCAAGCGUUGUCCGGAAUUCUUGGGCGUAAAGAGCUCGUAGGCGGUCUGUCGCGUCGGCUGUGAAAACUCGGGGCUCAACUCCGAGCUUGCAGUCGAUACGGGCAGGCUAGAGUUCGGCAGGGGAGACUGGAAUUCCUGGUGUAGCGGUGAAAUGCGCAGAUAUCAGGAGGAACACCGGUGGCGGAGGCGGGUCUCUGGGCCGAUACUGACGCUGAGGAGCGAAAGCGUGGGGAGCGAACAGG